CCCUUAGGCCUUGACAUACUAAGAACUUUCCAGAGAUGGAUUGGUGCCUUUCGGGAACUUAGAUACAGGUGCUGCAUGGCUGUCGUCAGCUCGUGUCGUGAGAUGUUGGUUAAGUCCGCAACGAGCGCAACCCUUUUCCUUAUUUGCCAGCGGGUCAUGCCGGGAACUUUAAGGAUACUGCCAGUGACAAACUGGAGGAAGGCGGGGACGACGUCAAGUCAUCAUGGCCCUUACGGCCAGGGCUACACACGUGCUACAAUGGUCGGUACAAAGGGUUGCUACCUCGCGAGAGGAUGCUAAUCUCAAAAAGCCGAUCGUAGUCCGGAUCGCAGUCUGCAACUCGACUGCGUGAAGUCGGAAUCGCUAGUAAUCGCGGAUCAGAAUGCCGCGGUGAAUACGUUCCCGGGCCUUGUACACACCGCCCGUCACACCAUGGGAGUUUGUUGUACCAGAAGUAGGUAGUCUAACCGCAAGGAGGACGCUUACCACGGUGUGGCCGAUGACUGGGGUGAAGUCGUAACAAGGUAGGCGUAGAUGA
rnacentral:rRNA from 1 species